rnacentral:rRNA from 1 species
UACGUAGGGGGCGAGCGUUGUCCGGAAUUAUUGGGCGUAAAGAGCUCGUAGGCGGCUUGUCACGUCGGUUGUGAAAGCCCGGGGCUUAACCCCGGGUCUGCAGUCGAUACGGGCAGGCUAGAGUUCGGUAGGGGAGAUCGGAAUUCCUGGUGUAGCGGUGAAAUGCGCAGAUAUCAGGAGGAACACCGGUGGCGAAGGCGGAUCUCUGGGCCGAUACUGACGCUGAGGAGCGAAAGCGUGGGGAGCGAACAGG